GAAAUAUGAAACCUCGCUCAAGCAUUAAACCUCCGCUACCAAGCCGGUCUUCUCCUGCCCAUACAUUCGCAGAGCCAAAGAUUCAGGGAGAAUCCCCAGUAGGUCCUCCAUCACUUGAAAGCCCAUCAACUAUGGUUAAGUUGUCUCGAACUAAGGAAGAAGAACCAUCGUUGCCAUCUGAUCCACUCCCACCUUCAUCUCCUAUGAACAGUGCAUCCACUGAAACUUCAAAUGUGGUAAAUGAUGCUUCUAGUCCAAUUUCUAACCUUUUGAGCUCAUUGGUUGCAAAGGGCCUUAUAUCAGCUUCAAAAGGAGAAUUAACAAAUAGUGUGACAUCCCAGAUGCCUUCACAGCAUGAAAAUUUGAAGUCAGGUGAUGCUGUGGCUAGUUCUGUACCAGUUCCUUCCAUCCCUGUUUCCUCUGCCAGUCACUCAUCUAUGAGACUUGAAUCACCUUCAAAAGCUG
rnacentral:misc_RNA from 1 species